rnacentral:rRNA from 1 species
UACGGAGGGUGCGAGCGUUGUCCGGAAUCAUUGGGCGUAAAGGGCGCGUAGGUGGCCCGGUCAGUUCGUGGUGAAAGCGCGGGGCUCAACCCUGCGUCGGCCAUGAAUACUGCCGCGGCUGGAGCACUGUAGAGGCAGGCGGAAUUCCGGGUGUAGCGGUGGAAUGCGCAGAUAUCAGGAGGAACACCAAUAGCGAAGGCAGCUCGCUGGGACGGUACUGACGCUAAGGCGCGAAAGCGUGGGGAGCGAACAGG